UCAUGAAAGAUCAAAACACCACAACUCCACAGACUGGUCUAAAUCUCCACCCCCUUCCCUUUGAAAUCCCAUGAUUUUACAGUCACUUGUACAUAUCCCUCCCUUGGGCUUUGUUCCCUCCAACAUCACUGCACUUGCAUCGUUAAGAAUCCCAUUACUGCAUGGAAUAGUGCUAAUCACCUCCUUAAUCUCAUCAUAACCAUACUCUAAUGGAACUUCUCCCCACGGCCCAUUGAAGCCAUUGAAUAUCUUCUGGGUUUCAUCCAACCCACUGUAGAAAUAGUUGUCAUUUACCCCCAUCUAUUCACCUCCACCACAUUGUAGACCAUUCUCCUUACUGUAGCUGAUCUGGCUGCAGCUCCUAUCAGAAGAGCUACAGCUAUUCUCCCCUCCAAGCAUGUAAGCUCCAUCUUUCAUUUGAUAUGAAUGGUGUGGAUGAUGGUGGUGGUGGUAGUGAUGUAUGGGAAACCUCUCAUGGGUUUGUAAGAUGCAGCUGGUAGCAUUGAAAAAGUCUGGUGGGGCAGGCAUCCCUGCAAGGCUUGUGGGAGAUUUUUGAAGGGGUGAGAAAGCUUCAUAAGGAGAUGGGAAGGGUGGUUGCUGCUGUGGUUUUCUUUGAGAGGGAAGAUUCCCAAUCAAUCUAAUUUGAAAUGUUUCUGAGUUUCAGUUUGAUGGUAGCAUUUAUAAGUUUUGAUCAGGUAGCAAAUUACUGAAAUUGAUUUGGUCAUCCAUCUCUUUAAUCAAAUUAAGCGUAGUAGAAGAAAGUUUCUAUUGGCCUAAGAUGCACAGAGACGUCUCCAAGCAUGUGGAGAGGUGCACAAAAUACUAGUCUGUAUGCACUCAGAUUUCAAGGAGUGGAGAGCUUCUCAUUGUGCAAGUUGGCUAGUUUGCAAAUUGCCUGAUUGAGGCUAGAAAUUAAUUGCAGCAUAAAUCUGAGAUCAUUCAACGCAAGUUUACAAUAACAAAGGCACUGCUAUUUAAGGCUGACAAGUCAUCGUUCGACCGCCUUUGUCAACAGACCAUGUACAUGGAUGGUAUUCUCCAGUUUGCAGUUUGUGUCAACGGAACUGUGCUUCAGCGAUCCAGACCAUUGAUACUAUGGGCCCCCACUUUUGAAGGGCAUAUCUCGAAAACCAUUCAGAUGAGAAGACCCUUCCCAACUCAGUUGGAUGAUGCGGUUGUAUGAUGAACAUAUGGGAAUAUGAUUAAAUGAAAUGAUCGAUGUUUGGCUUAUCUCGAAAUGAAAGUCCUUUAACAAGGCUAUUGCUUUAGAUAAUUUUUAUUUUAUUUACGUAACCAAAAAAAGCUGAUUGGA